rnacentral:rRNA from 1 species
CCUACGGGUGGCUGCAGUGGGGAAUAUUGGGCAAUGGAGGAAACUCUGACCCAGCAAUGCCGCGUGAAUGAAGAAGGUCUUCGGAUUGUAAAGUUCUUUAGUCAGGGAAGAAUAAAAUGACGGUACCUGAAGAAUAAGCUUCGGCUAACUACGUGCCAGCGGCCGCGGUAAUACGUAGGGAGCAAGCGUUGUUCGGAAUGACUGGGCGUAAAGGGUGCGUAGGCGGUUAUACAAGUUAGAAGUGAAAUACCCAGGGCUUAACACGGGUGGCGCUUCUAAAACUGGAAGGCUUGAGGGGAGGAGAGGUUAGUGGAAUGCCUAGUGUAGCGGUGGAAUGCCUAGAUAAUAAGAAGAACCCC